CAGUCGCCACGGUAAUACGUAGGGUGCAAGCGUUAACCGGAAUUACUGGGCGUAAAGCGUGCGCAGGCGGUUGUGCAAGACAGAUGUGAGAUCCCCGAGCUUAACUUGGGAACUGCAUUUGUGACUGCACGGCUAGAGUGUGUCAGAGGGGGGUAGAAUUCCACGUGUAGCAGUGAAAUGCGUAGAGAUGUGGAGGAACACCAGUGGCGAAGGCGACUCUCUGGUCUGUAACUGACGCUGAGGAGCGAAAGCGUGGGGAGCAAACAGGAUUAGAUACCCCCGUAGUCCCUGUCUCUUAUAC
rnacentral:rRNA from 1 species